GAAGUUGGUCAGACGAUCGCUGGUGCGAGUCUUCGGAUUCGCACGAGAGGAAAGUCCGGGCUCCGCAGGACAGGAUGGUCGAUAACGUCGACCGAUCGCGAGAUCAGGGCAAGUGCAGCAGAAAGCAAACCGCCUUGAUGCACUUUGGUGUAUCAAGGUAAGGGUGAAACGGUGAGGUAAGAGCUCACCAGCGUCGGUGGCGACAUUGGCGGCUAGGUAAACCCCAUCCGGAGCAAGGCCGAACAGAAAGCAGUGGCGGUCCGUCGCGCUAUGACUUUCGGGUAGGCUGCUCGACCCCGUCGGCAACGUCGGGGCUAGAGAAAUGAUCGUCGCCCGUUUCGGCGGGCAACAGAACCCGGCUUACUGACCAACUUCGCUU
rnacentral:RNase_P_RNA from 1 species